rnacentral:rRNA from 1 species
CGACGCCGCGUGACUGAUGAAGCCUUUCGGGGUGUAAAAGUCUUUCGGCAGGGACAAUAAUGAUGGUACCUGCAGAAGCAGCUGCGGCUAACUACGUGCCAGCAGCCGCGGUAAUACGUAGGCAGCUAGCGUUGUUCGGAAUUACUGGGCGUAAAGCGAGUGUAGGCGGUUUGCCAAGUCCGUUGUGAAAUCUCCCGGCUCAACUGGGAGGGUGCGGCGGAAACUGGCAGGCUAGAGUGCGGAAUGGGAGAGUGGAAUUCCUGGUGUAGCGGCGAAAUGCGUAGAUAUCAGGAGGAACACCGGUGGUGAAGACGGCUCUCUGGACCGCUACUGACGCUGAGACUCGAAAGCGUGGGGAGCAAACAGGAUUAGAUACCCUGGUAGUCCACGCCCUAAACGAUGCAUACUUGGUGUGGGCCCUUCACUGAGUCCGUGCCGGAGCUAACGCGUUAAGUAUGCCGCCUGGGGAGUACGGUCGCAAGGCUG